rnacentral:rRNA from 1 species
CACCGCCCGUCACACUAUAGGAGCUGGCCAUGUUUGAAGUCAUUACCCUUAACCGUAAGGAGGGGGAUGCCUAAGGCUAGGCUUGCGACUGGAGUGAAGUCGUAACAAGGUAGCCAUACUGGAAGGUGCGGCUG